rnacentral:rRNA from 1 species
AACGAACGCUGGCGGCAGGCCUAACACAUGCAAGUCGAACGCCGUAGCAAUACGGAGUGGCAGACGGGUGAGUAACGCGUGAGAACAUACCCCUCGGUUCGGAAUAACUCAGGGAAACUUGAGCUAAUACCGGAUACGUCCGAGGUUUUGAUCGACCUUGGAGAAAGAUUUAUCGCCGAAGGAUUGGCCCGCGUCUGAUUAGCUUGUUGGUGAGGUAAUGGCUCACCAAGGCGACGAUCAGUAGCUGGUCUGAGAGGAUGAUCAGCCACAUUGGGACUGAGACACGGCCCAAACUCCUACGGGAGGCAGCAGUGGGGAAUAUUGGACAAUGGG